CAGGCUUAACACAUGCAAGUCUAGGGGCAACAUCAUUAAAGCUUGCUUUGAUGGAUGGCGACCGGCGCACGGGUGAGUAACACGUAUCCAACCUGCCGACAACACUGGGAUAACCUUUCAAAAGAAAGAUUAAUACCGGAUGGCAUACUUUUCCCGCAUGGUCAUAAUUAUUAAAGAAUUUCGGUUGUCGAUGGGGAUGCGUUCCAUUAGGCAGUUGGCGGGGUAACGGCCCACCAAACCAACGAUGGAUACGGGUUCUGAGAGGAAGGUCCCCCACAUUGGAACUGACACACGGUCCAAACUCCUACGGGAGGCACCAGUGAGGAAUAUUGGUCAAUGGACGAGAGUCUGAACCAACCAAGUAGCGUGAAGGAUGACUGCCCUAUGAGUUGUAAACUUCUUUUAUACCGAAAUAAAGUGAGCCACGUGUGGCUUUUUGUAUGUACCGAAUGAAUAACGAUCGGCUAACUCCGUACCAUCAGCCGCGGUAAUACGGAGGAUCCGAGCGUUAUCCGGAUUUAUUGGGUUUAAAGGGAGCGUAGGCGGGUUGUUAACUCAGAUGUGAAAGUUUGCGGGUUCAACCCUAAAAUUGCAAUUGAUACUGGCUACCUUGAGUGCAACAGAGGUAAGCGGAAUUCGUGAUGUAUCGGCGAAAUGCUUAUAUAUCACGAAGAACUCCGAUUGCGAAGGCAACUUACUGUAUUGUAACUGACUCUGAUGCUCGAAAGUGUGGGUAUCAAACAUGAUUAGUUUCCGUGGUAGUCCACACAGUAAACGAUGAAUACUCGCUGUUGGCGAUAUACGGUCAGCGGACAAGCGAAAGCAUUAAGUAUUCCACUUGGGGAGUACGCCGGCAACGGUGAAACUCAAAGGAAUUGACGGGGGGCUGCACAAGCGGAGGAACAAGUGGUUUAAUUCGAUGAUACGCGAGGAACCUUAGCCGGGCUUAAAUUGCAAAUGACUGAACCGGAGACGGUUCUUUAUUCGGACAGUUGUGAAGGUGCUCGCAUGGUUGUCGUCAGCUCGUGCCGUGAGGUGUUGGAUUAAGUGUCAUAACGAGCGCAAGCCUUAUUGAUAGUUUCUAGCAGGUCAUGAUGAGGAUUCUAUUGAGAUUGCCGUGGUAAGAUGUGAGGAAGGUGGGGAUGACGUCAAAUCAGCUCGUCCCUUACGUCCGGGGCUUCACACGUGUUACAAUGGGGGGUACAGAAGGCAGAUACACGGCGACGUGGUGCUAAUCCCUAAAGCCUCUCUCAGUUUGGACUGGAGUCUGCAACCCGACUCCACUGAAGCUGGAUUUGUUAGUAAUCGAGCAUCAUCCACGGCGCGGUGAAUACGUUCCCGGGCCUUGUUCACACCGCCCGUCAAGCCAUGAAACCCGGGGGUACAAAAAGCACGUAACCGCGAGGAGCGUCCUAGGGUA
rnacentral:rRNA from 1 species